GUUGAUAGGUCAGGUGUGGAAGUGCAGUAAUGCAUUAAGCUAACUGAUACUAAUUGCCCGUACGGCUUGUCCCU
rnacentral:rRNA from 2 species